AUUGAACGCUGGCGGCAGGCCUAACACAUGCAAGUCGAACGGUAACAGGAAACAGCUUGCUGUUUCGCUGACGAGUGGCGGACGGGUGAGUAAUGUCUGGGAAACUGCCUGAUGGAGGGGGAUAACUACUGGAAACGGUAGCUAAUACCGCAUAACGUCGCAAGACCAAAGAGGGGGACCUUCGGGCCUGUUGCCAUCGGAUGUGCCCAGAUGGGAUUAGCUAGUAGGUGGGGUAACGGCUCACCUAGGCGACGAUCCCUAGCUGGUCUGAGAGGAUGACCAGCCACACUGGAACUGAGACACGGUCCAGACUCCUACGGGAGGCAGCAGUGGGGAAUAUUGCACAAUGGGCGCAAGCCUGAUGCAGCCAUGCCGCGUGUAUGAAGAAGGCCUUCGGGUUGUAAAGUACUUUCAGCGGGGAGGAAGGGAGUAAAGUUAAUACCUUUACUCAUUGACGUUACCCGCAGAAGAAGCACCGGCUAACUCCGUG
rnacentral:rRNA from 1 species